CAGAAGCCUCCCUCCCUUCAGCAAUCCUCCUCCAGUUCUUGGACAACUCCCGUGUGCUUUGGGGAGAAAACAAGCUGAGCACAUCUAAAUCAUGAAAGAGAAAGAAAGUUCUCUGAAGCUCAAGCAUGUACUGAACUGCUGAGUUAUUGCCUGGAAACCAACACUGAUGAGGAGCAUGUGAAAUAGCUGACUGGAUUUAUGCUGUUGAAGGUGGAACAGAUGUCUCAGAGGGCAGAACAAGAACCAAUGAUUGGACAUUGUAGGCUAUACAUUAUGCAAAACAUUUUAGUAUUGAAUGCUGUGCAAAAAUCGACCGUGUGAUCUUUAAUGAUAAUAGUUAUACCAUUUCUGGCAAAUGCCAGUUAGUUAUUAGGGUUGCAUUUACGACCUGCUUUCUACAUCCAUUGGAGGAGGGGGACUAGAGUAAUUCCAAGUUCUUUUCCAACUCUAUAAAUCUGGGUGUACUAAUGGUAAUACUACUACUUACCUAGAACAUACAGUGCUAAAAUCUUCUACACAAUAAUGAACUGACUUGUUGCAUGUUGCCUUCAUUGCUAUCAGGGAGCAGCAGCAACUCAUUAAACAUCAAAACUUUCUAAGAGCUCAGCUGGAUUAAGACAAAGAUUUAUCUAGUCCCUAAUCUUCUUUUCUUCAGUGGCCAAGUAAUGUCCCCAGAAAGCCCAAAAGCUGGACACAGAAACAAUGGUGUGGCAAAUAUAUCCAGAUGCAUGUUGCCCACCCGGACCCCCAACUAUAGCCUAAUAUAUUAUGAACUAAUGGUAAAAAUAAUUUAAAAACUUUUAAACUGUCAACACAUCUUGUGACAAUGAAUUUCAUAGUUUUUUUAAAAGGUGAAGGGGCUUAUAAAAGUGAAAUGGCACACUAAGAUAAUACUUAAUACAUAUAUUUAUCUGGUCUGCACCCACUGUUGAAAAUGCAAGUGAAGAAAGGGUUAUAUGGAUUGUUACCAUCAAUCUUCUAUCUUUUGCAGGUUUUGAUGAACUAUAGAAAAACCUACAAAUCAAACCUCACAGGAAGUAUGUACAGAUGAACAUAUACUGCAUAAAUAUAAGUACCUUAAUAAAAUGAACAGCCCAAAGGAAUCUAUUAAUGUGAAUGAAUGAAUGAAUGAAUGAAUAUAAAAGGUAGGGAAAACAUGCAGGUGAAGCAAUGCCAAGUGAUCUGUUACCACAUAAAUGGUAACUUCAGUUGGCUGAAGUGGCAAGAGUGGAGAAAUAUGAUGGUAGAUUUACCUUUAAUUUAAUUCCAACAAAAAAAUUCUCUGCUUGAAUAAUAAACAUUUGGAGAUUACUGAAAAAAAUAUCAUUUGUGUCAGCAAAAUGCUGAGCUUGGCUGAAGCAGAAGAAAACUAGGCAGAAUUUUGCUGGCCAUGGGUUUCCUCCGAUUGAGUUAAGGAUUUCCCCUCAGAAGCCACUUGUGAGGUGAAUUAAUCUCCUUAUUACUACAUCCUGUCAAGAGUGUGGCCAUUUGUUUCUGAUCCGUGAAGGGGCAGGUUCCAAUUUGUCUUGCUGGUGACAGGAGCAGCACUUCAUGGGGAAGGGGCAUUUACAAAAAAUUGAGUGAAAGCUUUCCACUCCUGUUAUUCUCAUGUUAGAGUAGACAGAGAUUUUUUUAAAAAAAUGUAUUUGCAUGCUUUUUUCAAAACAUCCAACAUUAACUAAAAGUUACCUAGGUAGCAUACAGGAAGCACUUCAAACCUUAUGUAACUAGAAAAUGGAAAACAAGCUUAAAAUUCACAGUAAAAAAAUUAGAAGGACUUACAUGUUUUUAAAAAGGAUUAAUCCAUGAGAUUGUUUUUCAAAAAAUCUUUGCCUGGCACUAAAAAGAUUUCAAAACAUACCUCCCCACCUUUCACCUACAAUCAGGCCCACUGGUGAAAAACCUAUGUGAUGUGGGUUGUAUCUUGAGGUUUACAUUUAAUCUGAGUUCCAACAGGUGGCAGCAUCUGGCCAAGCUUGGUUGACCAUAAGGAACACUAAGCGAGUUCAGCUUUAGUCCUAGAAUGAGAGACCAUCAGGAAAUCUUAAAACCGUAAGUUAGACUGGGAAGUCCAGAAAACAUUCCAGGAGCUGGCGGUGUCAUUUUUAAAAAUGUGUGAAGUAAUUUCCAUUAUUGAGCCUGCAUGAUCUCUCACAGCCUAUCACAUGGCUGGCAAGAUGCUGCCUUUGCAGAGCUCUAUCAUUUCAGACUGCAGUUGGGCUCAUCUCAAAUUUGUUUCUUCUCACAUUUAAAAAAAAUGAAACUAAACAAAGAGUUGAAUAUAAAGACUUCUCUAUAAGUAUAAAUGUUUAAGAUCAAAAGGUUUAAAUGUUGCUCUAUGCAGGAACAGCAUUGCUCACUAUCUCUGAUGAUUUAAUAGCACCACGGUCUGUAAACUGCUGGAAUCUGAAAGCAAAAUAAAAAUAAGUUCUAGAGGAUAUCAGAUUAUGAUCUGAUAUACAUUUGCUUUGUACUAACAAAGGCUGCAGCCAGAUUUUAACUUAUAAAAACGCUGGACUACAGUGUUCAUAAAAAUCAUCCAGUAGAUUUAUUCAAGGUUUUGGUUUUUUUUAGUCUUGGUCUUGGCAAAUUUAAGAUGUUUGGAUUUUAACUUCCAGAAUUCAACUUCAACUCUAGAUGGGGAAUUCUGGGAGCUGAAGUUCAUGCGUUUUAAACUGGCCAACACCUUCAGAGAUUACAAUCCUCCCAACUGUAAUAAAAUCAGCAUUAUUUUUCUUUCUCAAAUCAUGUUAAAAGCUUCUGGUAUACAGCUGGAUAUGCUUCUGUAUAUAUGUGGAGGCUCUAUCUAGUUUCUGAGGACAUAAGUAGCUGUCUCUGCCACUAAUUUGUUACUGAUCUAUGUUCAAAGUACUUCUAUUGAUAUAAAGCUCUCUGUGGCUUAGAACUUGGAUACCUAAUUAAUCUGAAUAUUUUUUUAUCUUGAAUAUCAGACCCAUCAUUAAAAUGCAGUUGCAAUCUUGAUGGCGCCACUGAAACUUGGCCAGUGCUCACUGUCCUGAAAAUGGAAUUCCCUCCCAGUCCAACUGCAAAUGAUGCCAAGUCUUAGAAAACUUUAGUUCCUGCUGAAAAUUUAAUUGUUUAUCCAACUGGAUCUAUGCUGCUGAGUCUCAUGUUAUCUCUUUUUGUUAUCUUGAUCUUAAGAUGUUGCAAUGUUGUGGCUUAAUCAUUUUAACAGUGUUGCCCUUUUAUCCUAUUUUGUACUGCUUCUUUGGAAUUCAUAGUGAAAAACAGUUUGUACAUUUACAGGAAUACACAUAUGUACAUAAAUACAUACAUAUGAUGGAAUGAUUGGAUGGAAUGAUUACUCACAAACAAAUUUGUUGCCAUGACCACUAUAACUUGGUUACAGCUUAAUUAUACCUGGCAUGAAUAUGUCUUUUUCUCCCUUCUUUUUGUAGCUUAUCUGGACUAUUAUCAGUAAAUGACCAUUUGUAAAUGAGUAAGAAAAAAGAAACCCAGAAACAUAAUGAUAUAGAUUUCAUUUUUUGUGUAUCGUGUUGUAUUGUUCUGACUUGCCAUUGUACUUUGAGGGAGUCAGCCUUAAGAAUCCCUCUUGCAAAGCUGUCUCAGAACUGAAGAGUCCCUCUAGAAGUUUUCUAAAAAUACCCUAAAUACCCUUUUGAGAUCUUCUCUCUUCCCCACAUGACCUUCCUCUUGACAGGAACCAUGCCUCUCUACAAUGUCCAUCAAAGCUAACUUGGCCAGUGUCAGCCACAGUUCCCCAUAAUCUCCCAGGAGGUAUAGUGGUGCCAGAAGUGACAGAAGACUUUAUCCACAUCUCUGAAAUAUAAACAAUAUUCCAGAAUAAUGACAAGAGCUGCAUUAGCAACCAAUACUUUUUAACCAUUUUGGUCCAGAUAACGUUAAGAAAAAAAAUACUAUCAUUGAUACCUGGCGCGGGUCUUCAACACAUUUUUAUCCUUAUCUACUGUAGCAAAGUACCUCAGUGAACAGCAAAUUUCAGACCUCUUCUCUUUUUUGUCUUUCAGAGGGACAGGAUUUUUUUUUUUUUUCUGUAAGCUUCAUGUUU